rnacentral:rRNA from 1 species
GAUGAACGCUGGCGGCGUGCCUAAUACAUGCAAGUCGAGCGAACAGAUGAGGAGCUUGCUCCUCUGACGUUAGCGGCGGACGGGUGAGUAACACGUGGAUAACCUACCUAUAAGACUGGGAUAACUUCGGGAAACGGAAGCUAAUACCGGAUAAAAAAUUAAACGGCAGGGUUAAUAAGUGAAGGACGGUUUUGCUGUCCCUUAAAGAUGGAUCCGCGCCGCAUUAGCUAGUUGGUAAGGUAACGGCUUACCAAGGCGACGAUGCGUAGCCGACCUGAGAGGGUGAUCGGCCACACUGGAACUGAGACACGGUCCAGACUCCUACGGGAGGCAGCAGUAGGGAAUCUUCCGCAAUGGGCGAAAGCCUGACGGAGCAACGCCGCGUGAGUGAUGAAGGUCUUCGGAUCGUAAAACUCUGUUAUUAGGGAAGAACAAAUGUGUAAGUAACUAUGCACGUCUUGACGGUACCUAAUCAGAAAGCCACGGCUAACUACGUG